GGGGAACGUGAGGAGAAAGGUCAGGAAGAACCAGCCUCAAGAUACCAUGGAGCUUUUAUAAAAGAGCAAGUACCUCAAGAACCAGGGAAUUCCAGACUACAAUCAUGAUGCAGCUGCUCAUCUCAUCAUCUGUAAAGGGGAGAUUCCACAUAUAUUUCUAAAGCAGUUCUACAAGAGAGUUGUGUUUGGGUGCAACAAACUUCACUGUCUAAGCCUUCCAUGUUCCCAGACCCUUGAAUAUUCCAUAAAACGUUGGUGUCUGAAAACAGUUGCUACGACUGUCAACUGAAAUUGUUCUUCAACCAACACCUUGUCUUUAUGGCCACAUUGCUAAAAGCAACCUGUCAGCAGCACAUCAGGAGCAGCUGCAGUGUCUACAUUGGUUCCAAUCACUUAUGUGAUUGUUGUGCACUCAAAAGCAUAAAAGUGUUUGUUACACUGCACAAACCUAACACACGAAAUCGAUCUGGGAGGAUUUAGGAGCCUUUUCUGGCACAGUCCGUAGAGACCCAAGUCUGUCUUGUUAUAAGACUGAGUAUACAGUUAAACCUGUCUCAUAUUUGUUAUUAUUAUAUUAAACUUAAUUCCUUCACUUGUUUAAGUUACCUCCCCUACAUCAUUCACUCCUUAGUUUCCUUGUAGGUAUAUGUGCAAGUUAAGGAAAAGCAUACCAAAAGAAGAUGACUUUGUGACACUUAAGCUGUGUCCACACAGGAAAUGAUUUACAGUGGUGCAGCAAACAAAUAUUACCAAUAAAAAUGCAGUAGAAUGGUGAUUAAUAUAUAACAGGGUAGUAAAUACGUUAGAGAAUUGCCUAGGCAACCAGAGGCUGGAAUUGUUACAGACCAAUUGUCAGCUUCAAAUGUGAUGCCCGACAAGCAAAUCACUUCCUGUGUGGAAGCACCUUGAUGCAUGGUAAGUACUGAGUACUGCUGUGCAAAGAUUUCAGAUAUGCAACCCCCCACAGAUCUUUGUUCUUGUCUAAUUUCAAUCUUUUUAAUAUGGUAAUAGUUCACAGAAAAAGGAAAAUUAUUUUAAAAAAGAAAGCCGGACAUUUGGUGGGGUGUAAGCAUUUUUGAUGGCAUGGUCGCUCAAGUCUAUGUGUUUGUGCGUGCGCUUGUAACAGAAAUUUUAGAUUGAAUUCAUAUUUUGGCAGUGUGCCAUUUGUAGCCUUGCAUCUGUGAUCAUGCUAGCAAAAUUAGAAUACAAAGCUAGGUACACACUGUGCAGAUUUUAUUAAUCUUGUGUCCAUUAACUAACAUUACAUUCCUGCAUAGCCAGAAAUGGUCCCUUCACACAAUAUGGAUGGUCAUGUGCAAUUCAUGGUAGUGUUUUACUCCCUGCAGUUCCAAAGCUGAAAUUGUGCUGCUGUUUUUAAAGGUUAAUUUAAAUUGUGAUUAUCUGUGGGGCAUUACUGACAUUUGUACCAUAUCUUUUUUUUCUUUUAAUUGAUUUUGUUGACAGUAUGCCUCCAAUUACAUGUCUCAGGUCUUACAGUGAUAAUUUUUGUCGGUAUUAAAAGAAUAUGUAUAUAUUAAA
ensembl:lncRNA